GCAUACAAUAAGCGGAGGAAAAGAAACUAACAAGGAUUCCCCUAGUAACUGCGAGUGAAGCGGGAAAAGCUCAAAUUUAAAAUCUGGCGGUCUUUGGCCGUCCGAGUUGUAAUCUAGAGAAGUGUUAUCCGCGCUGGACCGUGUACAAGUCUCCUGGAAUGGAGCGUCAUAGAGGGUGAGAAUCCCGUCUUUGACACGGACUGCCAGGGCUUUGUGAUGCGCUCUCAAAGAGUCGAGUUGUUUGGGAAUGCAGCUCAAAAUGGGUGGUAAAUUCCAUCUAAAGCUAAAUAUUGGCGAGAGACCGAUAGCGAACAAGUACCGUGAGGGAAAGAUGAAAAGAACUUUGGAAAGAGAGUUAAACAGUACGUGAAAUUGCUGAAAGGGAAACGCUUGAAGUCAGUCGCGUUGGCCGGGAAUCAACCUUGCUUUUGCUGGGCGUACUUUCCGGUUGACGGGUCAACAUCAAUUUUGACCGUUGGAUAAAGGCUGAGGGAAUGUGGCUUCUUCGGGAGUGUUAUAGCCCUUGGUCGCAUACAACGGUUGGGAUUGAGGAACUCAGCACGCCGCAAGGCCGGGUACUUGUACCACGUUCGUGCUUAGGAUGUUGGCAUAAUGGCUUUAAUCGACCCGUCUUGAAACACGGACCAAGGAGUCUAACAUGCCUGCGAGUGUUUGGGUGGAAAACCCGAGCGCGUAAUGAAAGUGAAAGUUGAGAUCCCUGUCGUGGGGAGCAUCGACGCCCGGACCAGAACUUUUGGGACGGAUCCGCGGUAGAGCAUGUAUGUUGGGACCCGAAAGAUGGUGAACUAUGCCUGAAUAGGGUGAAGCCAGAGGAAACUCUGGUGGAGGCUCGUAGCGAUUCUGACGUGCAAAUCGAUCGUCAAAUUUGGGUAUAGGGGCGAAAGACUAAUCGAACCAUCUAGUAGCUGGUUCCUGCG
rnacentral:rRNA from 1 species